rnacentral:snRNA from 1 species
UUAUUUUUAAAUAUUCUCUAAUAAAAUUUUAAAUCUGUUCUUAUCAGUUUAAUAUCUGAGCUGUUCUCUGAGAACUUUAUAUUACAUGGAUUUUUGGAACAGGGAGUUGGACUAGGAGCUUGCUCCAUCCGCUCCACGCUGGUGCGGGGGGCGUGUGCAUGUGGA